rnacentral:lncRNA from 1 species
UGUCAAUGGCGUCACAGUGUUGUAUAAAAGCUGCAACACAACAGCGAUUUAUUUAUCAAACUUUCAUACGAGAACUAUUGCAUUUGCCUAUGUAAGUACAUUUUCAGUUAUAUACAAUUAAGUAUUAAAUGUAAAUUUUAUAUAUAAAGAAUAAAAAUCAAUAAUUCAUUUUUUAAACAAACAGAAGAUUUUACGAUUAAAGCAAAUUCUGCAACGCAACAACAUUUCUUUUAUAUUUGCAUGAAGAUAACUUCAAGUAAUAUGUGAAACACAGUUUUACACAUGUGAUGAUGUCAGCAUUAGUUUCAAAAUCGUUAGCAUUUUAUGUUUAAGUAAAAGUUUAUUUCAAAUCCGUGACACGUUUCAUUGAUAGUAAUAAAAGCCCAUAUGUCAUUAUGCUGCUGCUGUAAACAAUUCGUAUUCAGGUUAAUUGAUCUCGCGGCAACUUAUACAUGUUAUAUUGGUUAAAGACUACAAUACAUCUGUCUUAUGUUAACAUAAACUUAAAUGCAAUCGACUUUUAAAUCCGCUUGCAUUCGUUUUAUUCUGAUAAAGAUCGUGUGGUAGAUAUAUUUAUGUGAGAGUUUCAUUCAAUCUGAUGACAGUACGAACUCUCUUGAACCAAAUAUUUUCCAUUUGACAAAACAAAUUAAAUCGAAGUUUUAUCGCAAUUAGACAAACAUAAUUUUAGGAAACAUUGAAAUUAAUUAUUCACCAUGUCGUUACAAAAGUUGCACUGUAGAACACAAAGCCCAAUAUGUCAAAACAUUUAUCAGAAUUCAUGCCUAGUUUUUACUUUUAUAAGUAACAGUUGUUAUAAGACCAUUGCUUUAUGCUUAUGUAAUAUUAUUAUAAAAAAAUACUUAGAUAUAUUUGUAUAUGAUGUAUAUGUAUUGUAGUGUCUAGCAGAAUAAUAAUUCAGAAGAAUGAAGGUUUUUGUUUGUUUUGUCGCCUGUAUGCUAAUAAUGUCUGUUGGAGGUAAGAAAACAUAAGACUUGCUUUUAACCUGAACGUUAAAUUAAUAUUUUUAACCAAUAGUUUUUUCGACGUAUCAAGACCCACAGAAACAAAAUAUUUUAACAAAAAGUAAGAGGGGGGGCAAGGGGUUUAACUGCUAUGCUGUUAUGGGGUAAUUCAAUUCUUUGUUAUCUGUUAUUCUGAAAAUAUAUUUGAUGUUAGCUGUUAUUGUCUUAUUCCUUGUUAGCUGUUAUAGGACUAUUAUUUUUAUUGUUAUCUGUUAUUGUGAGAUUGUAUUAGCUGUUAACUGUUAUUGAAAAUUGGAAUGUUAGCAUUUUGACAGCCAAUCGUAAGUAGAAAUUGAAGAAAAUUGAACAUUGUGACUUGGAUGAAGAGUUGUCUCUUUGGCUCCCAUAUCACAUCUUUUAUCUAUUGGGGGUCUUUCCACAGGUGAUAUGGAGGUCAUGUAUUUGCAGAAGGAUUCCAGUAACAUACAUCACAUGAACAUAUUAAAAACAGUCGGGUCUAGGACCAUUUCAGUCUACAUUAUUAUUAUUCUUGUAAUGAAUUCCAUUGUCUGUGAACAUGUUUCAGUUAUAUGUAUAAUUUUGUACAAAUUAUAGUUUGUAUUUUGACUUUGUACACAUUUUUCUUACAAACCAUAUAUUGUAUUUUGACUUUUACACAUUUUUUGUACAAAUUAUAAUUUGUAAAAAUAACAAUUUGUACAAAAUUUGACUAAAAUUCACUUAUAACUUUUACAAUAACUUAUCGUAUGGAUUUUGUUAUAACAAAGCAUUGGUACACCGUAUUAAAUUGUAAUUCAAUGAGCACAUUAUAAACAUUAUGUUGUACUGUUACACCACUGUCCAAGGUUAGAAGAGGGUCGGGCGCCAACUAACAUGUUUAGCCCCGCCAUACUCUGUAUAUUCCUGUCCCAUGUCAGGAGUCUGUACUUCAGUGGUUGUUAUUUGUUGCUAAGUUUUUCGUUCAGUAUUUUGUAGAUAAACUAGGCCGUCAGUUUCUCGUUUGAAUUGUUUUUCGUUGUCAUUUCAAAGCCUUUUAUAUCUGACUAUGCUGUAUGGGUUUGCUCAUAGUUGAAGGCAGUAUGAUGAGCUAUAGUUGCUAAUUUCUGUGUCUUUUUGUCUCUUUUGGAGAGUUGUCUGAUUGGCAAUCAUACCACAUCUCCUUUUAUACUUAUUUACAAAAUACAAAAAUAGUUAUUUAUCAUUUGUUUGAGUAUGUGAGUGAAAUAUUGCCUUUGGUAAUUACACAACAUCUUUUUAGCAUUCACAUUUAGAAGUGCUACUACCCCUCCUUGUAUUUACAUGAAAGAGAACCCUGACUAUAAUUUUGUUAAAAGCUUCACAUAGUGAAAGUUGAAGCUCAGAAACUGCUGCUGCAAAUAAAGACGUGUCUUUAACAGUUUCAAUUUAAUUUCUCCACAAAAUAUCCAUUUAAGAAUCCAACAGCUGUUCGAAUGCGGUACCCACAUUCUCCAUAAUCAAUUAUUUCACAUAAGAUGCAUGAUUGUUGUUUCAUUUGGUAUCAUCCAAAUUAUCACUCAGGUCAAUUUCUAUUAUGCUAUCAGAAUAGUCACUUUCUAUUAUAUUAUCUAUAUUAUCAUAAUUAACUGUAUGCAUGUAUCAAUUACAUUUCUUCUGGGUAUUUUUGUUUUUUAUAACUAAGGUUUAUCAUGUGGUCAUUAAAUAAAAAUAUAUAGUGUGUAGCAAUUCUAUGACAAAAUCCAUACGAGAAAAUCGCUUUUUAGAAAAAAAAUGUUCAAAGUAAUAUUAGGUUUCAUUUUCUUGAAAAAUAAAAAAAAAAAAGAAAACCACAAAAAAUUAUCUAUCAAAUGCCCUUGAUUUUUAAAUAUUCCUUAAACAAAAACAGAAACUAGUGAUUUUGUUCAGUUUUAAGUGAAUUUAAGUAGAAAUUUGUACAAAUUGUAAUUUCGUAUAUGUUUUUUUUGUACAAAUUACAAUUUGCAUUUUUACAAAUUACAAUUAUACAAAGUGAAAAUACAAAUUAUAAUUUGUAUAUUUUUUGAGGUACAAAUCAUAAUUUGUAUAAAAUAAAAACUUGUACACAAUAUUUAUAAAAGGUGUUCCUGUUAAGGUCGUAUAUCAUGGUCGUAUGGACCUAGGCCUAUCCUCAUCCUAGUCAUAUGUUUUACUUUUUUGUGAUAUUAAGAAUUGUUCAAAUUUUAAUUUAACAUAUAAAUGGGGAUAAUGUUCCUUGUACCCCCAUGCGUACAUGUAUAUUUAAUUCAAAUCAGUUAUUAAAAUAACUAAAAGGAAAACAUAUGACCAAGGAUACCUGAUGAGGAUAAUAACUAAAAUGAAUAUAUAUAUGUCUCUGUUAAGGCCUGAAUAGGUCCAUACAACCAGUUGUAUAAUAAAAUCUACUGUAUUGGUCCUGGACCGGACUAAUUUUAAGAUUUUAUUUACUGUUAUCUGUUAUUGUCCCUUUUCAAUUUCUUGUUAUCUGUUUUAAGCUAAAUCAAUUUACUGUUUUGCUGUUAUUGGAACCCCCCUUGCUCCCCCUCAGUAAGGAAUCUUUUUCUAUAAAUCAACUGACUGAAAUAAAAUGUAUGUGUUAAAAGGCAUCUGUUUUGUUGUCACAGUUAAACUAUAUAACAAAAUAAGAUCCAGUUGUUGUUUAGACAUUUCUGACUUAAAGGAAAAUAAGUAGUUUGAUAAGAUUUGUCAAUUUGUGUAGAAUAUUUAUAGUUAACACUUUCAUGUUGACGACACUACGUUGAUUAAUAGAUGUAUAAAGUAUUCUUUUUUCAUUGUUGUCCUAUUGUCUUAUAAUCUAUAUAUACUUUAGUACAUAUUUGAAUAAUGACAUUUACAAUUCUUCUGUAUUGUGAAAUAUUUAGGAGUCGAAUAAGGAAAUGAAAUUGAAGACCUGCUAUUUAACAUCGAACCCACUUCUUCGGCCUUAUUUACUUAUCAAAUGGAAAUUAUAUUGUGGACUACGAUAGUUUGUAGCUGUUCAUUUUUUUGUUAGUUUCUUUAAAUUUGGGUCGUUUUAGAAUUAUUUUGUUCUAACAUCUUAACAAAAUAUUUGAGUAUUCUUCUAAAACGUAGUCACAUUUAUAUGUGGAAUCAAAAAAUAUGAUUUUCCCGUAAUCUGAUCAUAACAACUUUCAGACUUUUGUAUGUGCAUGAUAAAACAUGCAAACCUGGUCACGAUAUGUAAAUAUAACCAAUGUUUUAACUUGUAGUCAGCAUGGCAAAUGACGAAAUGAUGGCAGACAAUGAACUUGUUCAUGAGUAAGUUGAGUUAACCACAUGUGAAUGAAAAAAAAUAAAAUAUGUGUCAACGGUAAAGUGAGUAGGUUCAAUUUAAUAAUUUUAUUAGAAAUAAUAACAUAUCAAAAUUAAAAGCCAGUUUGACAAAUGUCUAUCAAGAGUCUGAAGUAUAAAGACCACUGACUGUAUUAUAGAUUAAAGUAUAUUUAACUGACAAUUGUUUUCACUUCAGACGUGCAGAUGAACACGCGGUAAAGUUAAACUUAUCAAGAUCUAUUGUUUACAAAUUGGGCUAUAUAAAGACUCCAUAUUAAAAUUAAGUUUUUCCAACCAAUAUACAGAUACAAAUCGAUUUAACCAAUGCAUGAAAUGUAUGAUAAUACAUGAUUGUUUCUUUUUAUAUAUAUAAAAUAUACAUUAUAAGUACUUUUUAUUUCAGUCGUGUAAAAAGAGCUCCAUGUUAUAAUAGAAGAUGCUUUACCAACUACCAGUGCUGCACUGGCUAUAGGUGCUCAUAUAGAAGAUGUGUUCGCAGGAGAGGCUAGAUAGUGGACCCGUCCAUUAUUUACAAAUCCUAGCAAUCAUUACAGAUUUGAAACAAAUUAUUGUUACUA